rnacentral:rRNA from 1 species
GAUGAACGCUAGCGACAGGCUUAACACAUGCAAGUCGAGGGGCAGCGGGGGUAGCAAUACCCGCCGGCGACCGGCGCACGGGUGAGUAACGCGUAUGCAACUUACCUAUCAGAGGGGGAUAACCCGGCGAAAGUCGGACUAAUACCGCAUGAAGCAGGGGCCCCGCAUGGGGGUAUUUGCUAAAGAUUCAUCGCUGAUAGAUAGGCAUGCGUUCCAUUAGGCAGUUGGCGGGGUAACGGCCCACCAAACCGACGAUGGAUAGGGGUUCUGAGAGGAAGGUCCCCCACAUUGGUACUGAGACACGGCCCAG